rnacentral:rRNA from 1 species
UACGAAGGGUGCAAGCGUUACUCGGAAUUACUGGGCGUAAAGCGUGCGUAGGUGGUUUGUUAAGUCUGUUGUGAAAGCCCCGGGCUCAACCUGGGAAUGGCAAUGGAUACUGGCAGGCUAGAGUGCGGUAGAGGGUAGUGGAAUUCCCGGUGUAGCGGUGAAAUGCGUAGAGAUCGGGAGGAACACCAGUGGCGAAAGCGACUUCCUGGACCAGUACCGACGUUCAGGCACGAAAGCGUGGGGAGCAAACAGG